GUAGGUGGCAAGCGUUGUCCGGAAUUAUUGGGCGUAAAGCGCGCGCAGGCGGGGUCCUUUAAGUCUGAUGUGAAAGCCCACGGGCUCAACCGUGGAGGGUCAUUGGAAACUGGGGGACUUGAGUACAGAAGAGGAAAGCGGAACUCCAAGUGUAGCGGUGAAAUGCGUAGAGAUUUGGAGGAACACCAGUGGCGAAGGCGGCUUUCUGGUCUGUAACUGGCGCUGAGGCGCGAAAGCGUGGGGAGCAAACAGGAUUAGAUACCCUGGUAGUCCACGCCGUAAACGAUGAGUGCUAAGUGUUAGGGGGUUUCCGCCCCUUAGUGCUGCAGCUAACGCAUUAAGCACUCCGCCUGGGGAGUACGGCCGCAAAGGCUG
rnacentral:rRNA from 1 species